UCAUUUUCCUGUCUCAAGUUCACCUUGCAGUAUUACUGAAACAAUAGUUUUAGAAUACAUGCUAAUUCUUUUUAUGACUCAUGGACACUAAUGAAAACCAAACGUAAAGGUCAGUAUAACACCCAUAGGACUCAUAAAAACUGAACCUCCCCUGUCAGAGUACUACACUACUAUUAGCAUAGACCUUUACAAUACUACCUGUAAAUCAUUAUAAGUAAAGAGGUUGCAUAAGGUAAAGGUAAGUGAAAUGUAAUUCAUAUGAUUUAUUAUCAAAUAUUGUCUGGUACAUGUGGUAUUGAAGGUUGUGGCUGCCUCUGGUUGAACAUGUAGUUGAAGGAUAUAGAUAAAUGUCACCCACAUUGUACUAGAAAAUGCUUUAAAUUUGUUCCUGUACAAAAUUGUAUAUUAAAAGAAAAGUGAUGUUAGGCAUGUAACUUACAUAUUGCCUUUGAAGAAAGAUCCUUAACUGAAAUCCAUGUUUUGCCCUUGGCAGCUGUAUUAGGGAUAUAUAUAAUAUAAUGAUUUCCCAAGUUGCUACCAUGAUCCAGCAUGUCUACCCAAGUUUUUUUUUAACCCUGAUGUGGUCUCUUACAUCAAACAUUUGAGUAACUUAGGGGACCUACAAGUGCACACAGGACCCCCCUCAGCCACUGGACUAUUAUUCCCUGUGGCAAGUGGAGUACCCCAAGGUUCUGUUUUAGGUCCUGUUCUGUUUCUUAUAUAUAUAUAAAUCACAUUGCCUCUACUCUACUAUCUAUAAUGUCAAACUAUUUGCUGAUGAUUUAAAAUUAUACUCAUUGAUAAGACCCAGUAAUCCAUCCUCAGUAUUACAGGACAUAAGUGUAGUACAAAGAGACAUAGAUACCCUAAUUACAAUUGCUGAAUCAUGGGAUCUGGGAAUCAAUGCUGACAAAACUAAGAUUAUGUCUUUUGGUCCAAAUCUUCGACUUAUACAUGAUCUAGGCCUUUAUUCAAUUAAAGGGAAACUUAUCAGCUUCACUUCAGAAGCUGUCGACUAAGGUAUAAUCAUAGACCCAACAUUGAGGUUUCAUAAUCAUAUUCGAUCAAUAGUUAGCAAGGCUGCAGGACUGUCUAACAACCUGCUGAAGUCCACCUUGUGUCGGUUGGCAAGUUUUAUGAUCAAGUUGCUUAUCACUCACAUACGUCUCCUUUUGGAUGAUGUGUCUUUAUGAUCAGCGUCUGAAGUUUCUCGAUUUCUUUUCAGUCAAGGGAAGACUCUUGUGUGCUGAUCUUAUUAAAUGCUGGAAGAUUUUUAAUGACUUCCUGGGUUGGACUUCAGCGAUGAUACAGAACAGCAACACGUCAGUGGCGACCAAGGCUGCAUUUACACCAAGAGUUGAGGCGUGUCAGCACACAGCAAGUCUUGACUACGCAACUCACCACUCAAGGUUGAGGUGCUGGGAGGUCAGCAAUGCCGGGUGAGAAGUUCCCUGGAGACCAGAGGCUGCUGGAACUCCCCGGCUGUCCUGCAGCUCCUAAUGGGGUGAACAGCCGCCCCUCCACAGGGGAUAGAGAAG